CAGCUGCGAGUUCCAAGAGAAAUCUACAAGAAGCCAACGCUCCUGGAAGGAUCUAAAUCCAGGAAAGCAGAUCUUCAUAAGAGACUGACAGGCAGGUAGAUCCGGUACCAGGAUGCUCAUGUAGACAUCGGGAUCGGAGGGGAGAGGCGAUCGUACGAAGGGCAAGAGGCGCCGGUGCCGGUGGUGUCAGCUGCGGAGCAGGGAUCGAGGGAGUAGAAGGCCGGCGAGACGAUCCCGCGUCCGCUUCGCCGUCUCCCCGAAAGCUCAUCAUCGCCCGUCACCCCCAAAUCGAUGAGGGCUUUAAUGGCCAGGUUCAUCCUCUCUCUCUCUCUCUCUCUCGGCCAAUUUAAUGCGAUUCCAUCGAAUAGUAUUCGUAACCAUCAAAACAGGAGUAGGCGGUUAAUAUCCGUUAUAUCGUCGUGCUUGACCUAAAUGAAUU
rnacentral:lncRNA from 1 species